GUGUGCAGUGCCCUGCCCAUUCAGGUGCAGUUCAUGUACAAUUGGUGUCCUGUGCCUCGAAUGGGUAUGGUAAGGCUCA
ensembl:miRNA